UACAGGGGGUGCAAACGUUGCUCGGAAUUAUUGGGCGUAAAGCGCACGUAGGCGGUUCGUUAUGUCAGAUGUGAAAGCCCUUGGCUCAACUGAGGAAGUGCAUCUGAAACUGGCGAGCUAGAGUAUGUAAGAGGGUCGCGGAAUUCCCGGUGUAGAGGUGAAAUUCGUAGAUAUCGGGAGGAACACCGGUGGCGAAGGCGGCGACCUGGGACAAUACUGACGCUGAGGUGCGAAAGCGUGGGGAGCGAACAGG
rnacentral:rRNA from 1 species